rnacentral:misc_RNA from 1 species
GUAUACCUGGUUGAGCGUAAGCUUGGCCAAACCAUGUGUGAAUCAGUGUUUUCUUCCCGGCGAAAGCUCUCGCAAGCUUGGGCUUCAUUGUCUGGGCGAGCUUGGGUGGAGGCUGGGCUACCUCGCAAGAGGUAAAUCAUGUUUAAUAGCAGGGAACUCAAAAGUAACAAAUUACAACUUUUAACGAUGGAUCUCUUGGCUCU